UAUGUACAUUUUCUGAAGAAAAUGUGAGUGGUGCUUGCCGUGGCAAAACUCGGCUCUCGGUUGCUACGGUGUUGCUGUGGGGUUGCUAGGGUACUCUGGGUGGUUGCUAGGGCGGUUGCUAGGGUACCCAGGGUGGUUGCUAAGGUGUUGCUAUGCGGUUGCUAGGGUACCCAGGGUGGUUGCUAAGGUGUUGCUAUGCGGUUGCUAGGGUAACAGGGGUGGUUGCUAGGGUGUUGCUAUGCGGUUGCUAGGGUAACCGGGGUGGUUGCUAGGGCGGUUGCUAGGGUACCCAGGGUGGUUGCUAAGGUGUUGCUAUGCGGUUGCUAGGGUAACAGGGGUGGUUGCUAGGGUGUUGGUAUGCGGUUGCUAGGGUACUUGGGUGGUUGCUAAGGUACUUGGUGUGGUUGCUAGAGUGUUGUUAGGCAGUUACUAGUUGUCACAGAUCAUUACUAUGGAGUUUUAUAGAGUUCUUAGCCUGAUUUAGCACUUAGCUAAUCUCUAUUAGCAUGUAGCUAUUCACUGCUAGCAUGACUAGCAUCUUAAAGAUACCUAUUUGCUAGCAUGAGUCAAAAGAACCAACUCCCAUGUCUCUACGAUGUUCUGAUGCAGAGAUAUAGGUCUUGCUAAAUGGUUGCUAGGGUACUCUGUUUGGUUGCUAGGGAGUGGCUUGGCAGCUACCAAUUAUUACACUCCAAAGGCUGCCUGCCAGAUGAAUGAUAUAAACCAACCCCCAUGUCUCUAUGGCGUUCAGAUUUGAAGAUAUGCCUGUGUGGAUUUGGGUUGCUAGGUUCCUCGAUAGUGGUUGCUAGGGCGUGGCUAGGAAGUGUCUAUGGUGAUUCAUGAUUGGCUGUUUAC